rnacentral:rRNA from 1 species
GACGAACGCUGGCGGCGUGCUUAACACAUGCAAGUCGAACGGUGAAGCGCCUUCCUUUUUGGUGGGUGUGGAUGAGUGGCGAACGGGUGAGUAACACGUGAGUAACCUGCCCCCUUCUUCUGGAUAACCGCAUGAAAGUGUGGCUAAUACGGGAUAUUCUGGGUCUGUCGCAUGAUGGGUCUGGGAAAGAUAUUGUUUCGGUGGGGGAUGGGCUCGCGGCCUCUCAGCUUGUUGGUGGGGUGAUGGCCUACCAAGGCGGUGACGGGUAGCCGGCCUGAGAGGGUGGACGGUCACACUGGGACUGAGACACGGCCCAGACUCCGACGGGAGGCAGCAGUGGGGAAUAUUGCACAAUGGGCGCAAGCCUGAUGCAGCGACGCCGCGUGAGGGAUGGAGGCCUUCGGGUUGUGAACCUCUUUCGCCAGUGAAGCAGGCCUGCCUCGUUUGUGGGUGGGUUGACGGUAGCUGGAUAAGAAGCGCCGGCUAACUACGUG